AUGGGAGGGCUCUGGGUUACGCGAUGGCCGCGCGUGGCUUUCUGCGGGUGGCCCUGGAACCACCCUGGAAACCCGACCAGGGCUGCGGAGAGGGUAGAGUCUUGUCUUAGGUCGGGGAGGAGCGGGACAGGGGCUGCUGAGAGGGAGCUGAGACGGCUCGGGACAUGGAGGCGCCCGAGCUUGGCGGUGCAGCCGCCGCGGCGGCCGAAGAGCACAAACCCCUUCACGCGCGCACAGGAGGAGGAUUGGCGGCGGCGGAACAAGACCGUCCUCACGUAUGUGGCCGCGGCGGCCGUGGGCAUGCUGGGGGCGUCCUACGCCGCCGUGCCCCUUUACCGGCUCUACUGCCAGACUACUGGACUUGGAGGAUCGGCAGUAGCAGGUCGUGCAUCAGACCAGAUUGAAAACAUGGUACCUGUUAAGGAUCGCAUCAUUAAAGUCACCUUUAAUGCAGAUGUUCAUGCAAGUCUCCAGUGGAACUUUAGACCUCAGCAAACAGAAAUAUAUGUAGUGCCAGGGGAGACUGCACUGGCGUUUUAUAAAGCUAAGAAUCCUACUGACAAACCAGUAAUUGGAAUUUCUACAUACAAUGUUGUACCAUUUGAAGCUGGACAGUAUUUCAAUAAAAUACAGUGCUUCUGUUUUGAAGAACAAAGGCUUAAUCCACAAGAGGAAGUAGAUAUGCCGGUAUUUUUCUACAUUGAUCCUGAAUUUGCUGAAGAUCCAAGAAUGGUGAAGGUUGAUCUCAUCACUCUUUCUUAUACUUUUUUUGAAGCAAAGGAGGGGCAUAAGUUGCCGGUGCCAGGCUAUAAUUGAAGUCAGAACUAAGUCCUGCUUCAAAUUUGUGA